CACAUGCAAGUCGAGGGGUAACAGGGGUAGCUUGCUACUUGCUGACGACCGGCGCACGGGUGCGUAACGCGUAUACAAUCUGCCUUACACUGGGGGAUAGCCUUUAGAAAUGAAGAUUAAUACCCCAUAGAAUGAGACUGUGGCAUCACAGACUUAUUAAAGGUUACGGUGUAAGAUGAGUAUGCGUCCUAUUAGCUAGAUGGUGUGGUAACGGCACACCAUGGCGACGAUAGGUAGGGGCCCUGAGAGGGGGAUCCCCCACACUGGUACUGAGACACGGACCAGACUCCUACGGGAGGCAGCAGUGAGGAAUAUUGGACAAUGGGCGAGAGCCUGAUCCAGCCAUGCCGCGUGCAGGAAGACUGCCCUAUGGGUUGUAAACUGCUUUUAUACAGGAAGAAACACUCCCUCGAGAAGGGAGCUUGACGGUACUGUAAGAAUAAGGAUCGGCUAACUCCGUGCCAGCAGCCGCGGUAAUACGGAGGAUCCAAGCGUUAUCCGGAAUCAUUGGGUUUAAAGGGUCCGUAGGUGGAUAAUUUAGUCAGAGGUGAAAUCCUGCAGCUCAACUGUAGAAUUGCCUUUGAUACUGGUUAUCUUGAGUUAUUAUGAAGUAGUUAGAAUAUGUAGUGUAGCGGUGAAAUGCAUAGAUAUUACAUAGAAUACCAAUUGCGAAGGCAGAUUACUAAUAAUCAACUGACACUGAUGGACGAAAGCGUGGGGAGCGAACAGGAUUAGAUACCCUGGUAGUCCACGCCGUAAACGAUGGAUACUAGCUGUUCGAACUUCGGUUUGAGUGGCUAAGCGAAAGUGAUAAGUAUCCCACCUGGGGAGUACGUUCGCAAGAAUGAAACUCAAAGGAAUUGACGGGGGCCCGCACAAGCG
rnacentral:rRNA from 1 species